GGGGCUCCCGUCGGCUCCCGGCUGCCCUUUCCCUUGCAGCCUCUGAGCUGGCUGGAGUUCCCGGGCCGAUCUCCGGACACGUGCGAAGGGCCAGCUGUAGACUUCAGCCAGAUGUGGUGCCAGGAUGAUUUGAAAGUAGGGCAUCCUUGGCCCUCCUGAAGCAGUAAUUAGUGGCAAGUGGACAGCUUAUAUGAUGCUUUCAGAUGGCCUUCACCUGAGAGAACCACACCUACACUGGAGCUUCAGCCACCUGACAGCUGUGUGAUUGAUUGUAAUAUAUGUCGUCAUUUUGUCAUGUUCAAAGAAAGUGACAGUGAACUUUUGCAAUGAAAACUUGACUCAUCUCAAAAUUCAAUCAGGAAAAAGAAACCCAGAGGAAUAAGUUCUUCUGGCCCCAAAGGGAUGCAAAAAGGUGGCUCUGUGCCUAGGAAUUCACACAAAGGAAAACAAGCUGAUGCUGCAGUCCUCAGAUGACUGAUUAUUUUUACCCUCUGAGCUCAGAGAAGAGGUGAAUUCUUUACCAGCUGCUGACUGAAAGGAAGAACCAGGCCCCAGUACUAGUGUCCUACAAGCCGAAGGAGUGGAGUUCAACAGUGAUUUCCAAAUGCUGCUCCACCAAACUUUUUUACAGGUCCUAGAAAAAGUUAUUGUGCUUACACAUGGUACACCUCAAUCAUGUGUGGAACUGUUAGAAUAUUUUUAGAAUAAAUGUUUCUUAUUUCUGCCUUAGCAGUCUACAAAUACAUUUCCCCAAUUUUCACUGGUUUGCAGGUGUAUUAAGUUUAUAGGUAUGUUGGGUACUUCACUAAGGGAAAAGACCUGUCCCAGAAUUUUCAAAAGAUUGAUCAUCUAAGUUAUUCUUUAAUGAGUUUACAGCUUCUUGCACAAAGGAUUUGGGGCACACCUGGCCGCGCUCAGGUAUCAUAUGUGGAGCUGGGAUCAAACCAGGUUGACCAUGCUCAA